rnacentral:rRNA from 1 species
GACAGAGGGGGCAAGCGUUGCUCGGAAUCACUGGGCGUAAAGGGCGCGUAGGCGGGAUGGCAAGUCGGUCGUGAAAUCCUUCGGCUCAACCGAAGAACGUCGGCCGAUACUGCCAUUCUUGAGGGAUGCAGAGGAGAUUGGAAUUCCCGGUGUAGCGGUGAAAUGUGUAGAGAUCGGGAGGAACACCGAUGGCGAAGGCAGGUACUCUGGGCAUUAACUGACGCUGAGGAGCGGAAAGCAUGGGGAGCGAACAGG